rnacentral:rRNA from 1 species
UACGUAGGGGGCAAGCGUUGUUCGGAAUUACUGGGCGUAAAGGGCGCGUAGGCGGCCUUCUAAGUCGAACGUGAAAUCCCCGGGCUCAACCCGGGAACUGCGUCCGAUACUGGAAGGCUUGAAUCCGGGAGAGGGAUGCGGAAUUCCAGGUGUAGCGGUGAAAUGCGUAGAUAUCUGGAGGAACACCGGUGGCGAAGGCGGCAUCCCGGACCGGUAUUGACGCUGAGGCGCGAAAGCCAGGGGAGCAAACGGG